GAAUCUUGCGCAAUGGGCGAAAGCCUGACGCAGCGACGCCGCGUGCGGGAUGAAGGCCUUCGGGUCGUAAACCGCUGUCGGGAGGGACGAAAUCAAUGACGGUACCUCCAAAGGAAGCACCGGCUAACUCUGUGCCAGCACCCGCGGUAAUACAGAGGGUGCGAGCGUUGGCCGGAAUCACUGGGCGUAAAGGGCGCGUAGGCGGCCUGAUAAGUAGGGGGUGAAAUCCUGCGGCUCAACCGCAGGGCUGCCUUCUAGACUGUCAGGCUUGAGCACAGUAGAGGCAGGUGGAAUUCCCGGUGUAGCGGUGGAAUGCGUAGAGAUCGGGAAGAACAUCGGUGGCGAAGGCGGCCUGCUGGGCUGUUGCUGACGCUGAGGCGCGACAGCGUGGGGAGCAAACAGG
rnacentral:rRNA from 1 species